rnacentral:lncRNA from 1 species
AAUGUGACCAUCAGCUGCACAGCGGUAUCUUUUCCAUGGCUGUGGGCGCUGCACUCUGUCAUCGAGAAAGUGAUGGGCGCUCAGUGCAAGUUCACAGCCGACGGGCUCAUCGAAUUCUGGCAGAAGGAGUGCAAACUGAAAGAGGCUGCAGUGAGCACCUCUCGCAUGCACAGCACAAGCUUUUGCAUGCGUGCACCCUGCCAUAUUUGUGAUUUCAAGGUGCCAUGCAUUGCAGUCUGUCGGCUGACAUUCUCAUGCAACAGCAUAGCAUCUCACUGCUGUUAUCCAUCAUGUGCAGGAGCAAGAAGCUGCAGAGGCAGAUCUGAGGGAGGAAGCUGAACAUGUUGGCACGAAGCCCAAGGGAGAAGAGGCAGAGCAGGAAAGCUUCCAGGAGGAGCCUUCACCCACAGCCCCAACUGUGAUGCCAGAUGAUGUGGUCAGCAUCGGGAGCAGUGUAUACCACGAUGCUGAGGACGAUCUGCAGGUGCCCAACACAGCGCAGCACACCUCUAAGAAGG